rnacentral:rRNA from 1 species
AACGAACGCUGGCGGCAUGCCUAACACAUGCAAGUCGAACGAUACCUUCGGGUCUAGUGGCGCACGGGUGCGUAACGCGUGGGAACCUGCCCUUAGGUUCGGAAUAACUCCCCGAAAGGGGUGCUAAUACCGGAUAAUGUCUUCGGACCAAAGAUUUAUCGCCUUUGGAUGGGCCCGCGUUGGAUUAGCUAGUUGGUAGGGUAAAAGCCUACCAAGGCGGCGAUCCAUAGCUGGUCUGAGAGGAUGAUCAGCCACACUGGGACUGAGACACGGCCCAGACUCGUACGGGAGGCAGCAGUGGGGAAUAUUGGACGAUGGGCGAAAGCCUGAUCCAGCAAUGCCGCGUGAGUGAUGAAGGCCUUAGGGUUGUAAAGCUCUUUUACCCGGGAUGAUAAUGACAGUACCGGGAGAAGAAGCUCCGGCUAACUACGUG